rnacentral:piRNA from 1 species
UAGACGUAAAUAUGGAAGUCGUCAUCAAGC